CCUACGGGAGGCUGCAGUGAGGAAUAUUGGUCAAUGGCCGCAGGGCUGAACCAGCCAAGUCGCGUGAGGGAUGACGGUCCUAUGGAUUGUAAACCUCUUUUGUCAGGGAGCAAAGGGCGCCACGUGUGGCGCUUUGCGAGUACCUGAAGAAAAAGCAUCGGCUAACUCCGUGCCAGCAGCCGCGGUAAUACGGAGGAUGCGAGCGUUAUCCGGAUUUAUUGGGUGUAAAGGGUGCGCAGGCGGAAUGUCAAGUCAGCGGUAAAAUUUCGGGGCUCAACCCCGUCGUGCCGUUGAAACUGGCGUUCUUGAGUGAGCGAGAAGUAUGCGGAAUGCGUGGUGUAGCGGUGAAAUGCAUAGAUAUCACGCAGAACUCCGAUUGCGAAGGCAGCAUACCGGCGCUCAACUGACGCUCAUGCACGAAAGCGUGGGUAUCGAACAGGAUUAGAUACCCCAGUAGUC
rnacentral:rRNA from 1 species